ACAGGGGAUAGGAUAGUAGGAGAAGGAGAAGCCCACAGAGGAGGCAGGAGAAGAACCAGGAAGUAGCGUGUCCUUGAGGUGGGAGCUGGGAGCAGUAGGGACCCUCGUGAGGUGAGGUGUGCUUCUGUAGGUCUCCCUAGAAAAAACCUGUGUCAGAUCCUUCACUAAGCCUGCUUUAGUUUCCACCACCUGCUUCUGCAUUCUUUUUAUGGCUCCUUAGGUCUCCAGGAAAGCUAACAGCCAGGGAGAGGAUCAGUCUCUUGCUGGACCCUGGCAGCUUUGUUGAGAGCGACAUGUUUGUGGAACACAGAUGUGCAGAUUUUGGAAUGGCUGCUGAUAAGAAUAAGUUUCCUGGAGACAGCGUGGUCACUGGACGAGGCCGAAUCAAUGGAAGAUUGGUUUAUGUCUUCAGUCAGGAUUUUACAGUUUUUGGAGGCAGUCUGUCAGGAGCACAUGCCCAAAAGAUCUGCAAAAUCAUGGACCAGGCCAUAACGGUGGGGGCUCCAGUGAUUGGGCUGAAUGACUCUGGGGGAGCACGGAUCCAAGA
rnacentral:lncRNA from 1 species